rnacentral:rRNA from 1 species
GAUGAACGCUGGCGGCGUGCUUAAUACAUGCAAGUCGAACGGAAAGGCCCGGCUUUUGUGGGUUGCUCGAUUGGCGAACGGGUGAGUAACACGUGAGUAACCUGCCCUUGACUGUGGGAUAACUUUAGGAAACUGGGGCUAAUACCGGAGAGGAUCUCCUGCUGCACGGUGGGGGUUGGUAAGAUUCGGCGGUUGGGGAUGGACUCGCGGCUUAUCAGCUUGUUGGUGGGGUAGUUGCUUCCCAAGGCUUCGACGGGUAGCCGGCCUGAGAGGGUGACCGGCCACAUGGGGCCUGAGGUACGGCGCAGAAUCCUACGGGAGGCAGCAGGGGAGAGUAUUGCGGAAUGGGCGGAAGCCUGAUGCAGCAACGCCGCGUGCGGGAUGCCGGCCUUCGAGUUGUAAACCGCUUUGUACUGUGCCGAACAGUGAGUGACGGUAAUGGGUAAGGAAGCCCCGGCUAACUACGUG